rnacentral:rRNA from 1 species
UACGGGGGGGCAAGCGUUGUUCGGAAUUACUGGGCGUAAAGGGCUCGUAGGUGGCCAAUUAAGUCAGACGUGAAAUCCCCAGGCUCAACCUGGGAACUGCGUCUGAUACUGGUUGGCUUGAAUUCGGGAGAGGGAUGCAGAAUUCCAGGUGUAGCGGUGAAAUGCGUAGAUAUCUGGAGGAAUACCGGUGGCGAAGGCGGCAUCCUGGACCGAGAUUGACACUGAGGAGCGAAAGCCAGGGGAGCAAACGGG